AGCAAGAGCCCGGAGAUGGAUUCUGAGACAUGAAUCCAGGCCCUACGGGGCGCAGCAGGCGCGAAAACUUUACAAUGCGGGAAACCGUGAUAAGGGGACACCGAGUGCCAGCGUCAUACGCUGGCUGUCCAGGUGUGUAAAAUACACCUGUUAGCAAGGGCCGGGCAAGACCGGUGCCAGCCGCCGCGGUAACACCGGCGGCCCGAGUGGUGAUCGUGAUUAUUGGGUCUAAAGGGUCCGUAGCCGGUUUGGUCAGUCCUCCGGGAAAUCUGAUAGCUCAACUAUUAGGCUUUCGGGGGAUACUGCCAGACUUGGAACCGGGAGAGGUAAGAGGUACUACAGGGGUAGGAGUGAAAUCUUGUAAUCCCUGUGGGACCACCUGUGGCGAAGGCGUCUUACCAGAACGGGUUCGACGGUGAGGGACGAAAGCUGGG
rnacentral:rRNA from 1 species